GCUCAUUUGUUCUUUUCGAUCCUAAGAAAUAUUAGAAGGUUAAAUAACUUAUCACAUACGAGGGAUUAAUCAUACUGCCAAAAUUAGAAUGUGUGUAGUUCUGAGGGACUGAAUGUCAAAAUUGUAUGCUCAUUGCACUAAAACUAUUGGGGAUCUAGGAAAUCACAAGAGCGUUUAAAAUGGCAGCUAAGGUCUGUGGAAACCCUUCAUGUUUAGAAACUGGCUAAAGCUUGAUAUCUCUUCUCUUUUGGUUAAGGGCACCACUCUCAGAUAAAAACAUAGACCUGAAUGGCAUCAUCCAGUAUCCAAGGAAACCAUGAUUAAAAUGUUAGCUAGGAGAGACCAGAGCAGUGCAUAGUCUACCUCAUUUCCCACUACUGAGGUUUUACCUAAUUGCAUAUGAAUUAAGAGAUUUUCCAUUCUGACUGGUGACAAAAGGCCUAUUUCCAGCCCUAGGAAGGUGCCAGGUAGGCUUUUUCUUGCCUUUGGAAAACAUAAAUCUCUUACCAGAGAUAUGAAAUAUUCAGCUGAAUUGAUUUAUGGCCUGGUAAAGGUCUUUUCAUGCUCUGCAAUGACAAUAUUUUUACAAAACCUACAGGUCACCAAUUUACUUGGUUCUUAAAAGCUUUACUGCAUCAUAUAAGAAUCAAAGUGGAGGGGUCAUGCCAAGUCCUUACUCAGAAGGAGAAGGUAAUGGAAGAGAUGCAGAACACUCAGGCAAGUUCUCUAGUUUAUAUACAGCUUGUCCUAGGCCAUUUUAUAAUGGCAUCUGCUGAGACCACAUCCUACUGGGUCAUUUAACUUUUCAAAUUUUGCUUCACAUUGAGAAAUCCUUGUAGUCCUGUGCAACUCACAGAAAUAUGCCAAUAAAUGUCUUCACCAAAACCAACUUCCUGGAAAUAAUAAUUUUCUUUGUUUUUGCAAAAGAUUUUUUUUUUUUGUCCUUCAGUAGAUGAUCUAUCUAGGGAUCCCAGCAAGUGAUCCUAAGAGAAAAUAUAUUCUGUUUCAUCCAGGUUCAGGCUAAAUUGCUGGGACAGCUGCUUUCUUUGACCUCCUCUCGACUUUGCUGACCACAUCACCAACUGGCAGGGUGUGGUGCCUUAAGACCUUCCAAAAGACUUGCUUCCAAAUGGAAAUAAUGGAGUAACAUUUUAUAUGAUCAAACAUGAGAGAAUUCCAGUAAUUUUAAGCAUUUUAAGGUACAUUCAGCAUAUUGCUCAAAUGAUUACUAAAAUUUUGCAUCUGAAAAGCAGUCAAUCCCACAUUGAAACUGCUUGUAGAAUACACGAUUCAGAGAGUGGUCAUUGGUUAAUGACAGCAACAGAAGGAAGCCCUGGGAGCCAUCUAGCAGGGAACCCCUUUUCUUCCAGAAAGUAAUACAUCUAAGCUCUCCUCUGUAGAAGACUGUUUUGUCU